rnacentral:miRNA from 1 species
GACGUCGGUAUUCGACGUCAUAAACACGAUCAAAUUAGGUUUUAUGACGUCGAUAUUCGACAUCAUAAACACAAUCAACUUAGGUGUUUAUGACGUCGAUAUUCGUCGUCAUGAACACGAUUAACUUUGGUGUUUAUGACGUCGAUAUUCGACGUC